rnacentral:rRNA from 1 species
UACGGGGGGUGCAAGCGUUAUCCGGAUUUAUUGGGUUUAAAGGGUCCGUAGGCGGAUCUGUAAGUCAGUGGUGAAAUCUCAUAGCUUAACUAUGAAACUGCCAUUGAUACUGCAGGUCUUGAGUAAGGUAGAAGUGGCUGGAAUAAGUAGUGUAGCGGUGAAAUGCAUAGAUAUUACUUAGAACACCAAUUGCGAAGGCAGGUCACUAUGUCUUAACUGACGCUGAUGGACGAAAGCGUGGGGAGCGAACAGG